rnacentral:rRNA from 1 species
GACGAACGCUGGCGGCGUGCCUAAUACAUGCAAGUCGAACGAGUGGCGGACGGGUGAGUAAUAUAUGGGUAUCUGCCCGAUAGAGGGGGAGAAAUACUUGAAACGUUAGGUAAUACCUCAUACUAUCGGAGGAACCAAUAUGGGAUUAGUUAGUAGGUGAGGUAAUGGCUCACCUAGGCAAUGAUCCCUAGCUGGUCUGAGAGGAUGAUCAGCCACACUGGAACUGAGACACGGUCCAGACUCCGACGGGAGGCAGCAGUGGGGAAUAUUGCACAAUGGGCGCAAGCCUGAUGCAGCCAUGCCGCGUGUGUGAAGAAGGCCUUCGGGUUGUAAAGCACUUUCAGCUGGGAGGCGUUACUCGCAGAAGAAGCACCGGCUAACUCCGUGCCAGCAGCCGCGGUAAUAC